ensembl:lncRNA
GUUCAACUUUGGGCUCUACCACCUGGGUGACUUGGUGAGUUCCUGACACUUUCAACUAUUGGUGUUGCCAGUGAAAAGGGCUGAGUUAAAAGAUGGAACCAAGUGCAUUUCCUAAAACUCUUUGAGACCUCCAGAUUCAUUCCUGCACCCUGCAUAGCUGGGUGACAACUCCUCACCAUCCUUGCUAAAGAUUUAUUCUCUGAGAGUAAAACAGAGGGUCCCUGGGCUGAGGAGACCAGGCACAGCUGAAGACAGAAGUGCUGUAGUGAGUCAAAGGGUGAAGAUCUGGAGACACCCCGCAGGCACACCACACCAACACACAUCUGGCCAGUACUCUUUCUAUACUCAGCUCCUGUCACACCUUCACCCACUAACCAAAAGAUGGAAGCAUUUCCUCUGGCCACCCCAAAGGAAAAAAUCUAAAGACACUUAUCCUAGAGUUUCCCCAGCUGGAAGGUUAAAUGACAUGGCUUCCCAGUGAACCUCAAUCUACAAGCCCCCAACAGCUUAGAUAUGAGCAGGUGGGCAAGACUGACAGACUGCUCAGAAAAGCCUCUAAUGUUAAAAUAAUGUAAAACAAAUGGGUGGAAAAGAGAAAUAUGAAUCAAACAAUGAUUAUAC